UACGUAGGGUGCAAGCGUUGUCCGGAAUUAUUGGGCGUAAAGAGCUCGUAGGCGGUCUGUCACGUCGGCUGUGAAAACCCGAGGCUCAACCUCGGGCCUGCAGUCGAUACGGGCAAACUAGAGUACUGCAGGGGAGACUGGAAUUCUUGGUGUAGCGGUGAAAUGCGCAGAUAUCAGGAGGAACACCGGUGGCGAAGGCGGGUCUCUGGGCAGUAACUGACGCUGAGGAGCGAAAGCGUGGGGAGCGAACAGG
rnacentral:rRNA from 1 species